UAUAAAUACAUCUCAUUUUUCUCUGUUUUGUCAGUAGUUGUUUUUGGUAUUAUUCGUGCAACGUGGAAGCUAACUUAGUGGUUUGGUGUUCGUACAAAAAAGCAGUCCUAAAGAUCAUCUUAGUACUCUCAACCCGUAACCGCAAAUAGAAUAGCAGCAAUCUUAAGCAUGGACUUAAGUCAACUGAAUCAAACCUGUCUUGCAGAAGGUGAUUUUGAGCAGCCGAUUGUCAAACUGCAUGAAUUGUCGAUAGGCGUUCCGUUUUAAAUUACUAGAGCCAAAAUUGUUAAUACAAAAUUUGGCAAUUCCGUGUUGCUGCAAUUAGAAAAUUCCGUAGUAUUUCUUCCUACUCGCGUGACAGAAGCUUUCCGUCCGAGACUAGGACACUUUGCGUCGGGGCAGUACAAACUGGUCUACGAGGGAUCCAAAGAUAUUGGAAAGCCCAACUCUUUAAAGAAAUUCAAAAUAAUUCAAAAUUAAUCAACAUAUUAUACAGGAUUAUGGUCAAACAACUUACAUUAGAAAGCCUUUGUAUUAUAACAAUUUGCGAAAAUAUUAGGUGUAGUGCUGAUUUUUUGCUUGAGUCACCUUUGCCUUGGAAACUAACGAUACUAAUAUUU